GACGCUGGCGGCGUGCUUAAUACAUGCAAGUCAACUUGACUUAGAUAGCAAUAUCGAAAGUAGGGUGGCGCACGGGUGCGUAACGCGUAGGUAAUCUGCCCUGAGGUCUGACAUAACCCGUCGAAAGGCGGGCUAACAUCAGAUGAUAUAUAAUCACGACAUCGUGGAAAUAUCAAAUCUUCGGAGCCUUGGGAUGAGCCUGCGUCUGAUUAGGUAGUUGGCGGAGUAAUAGCCCACCAAGCCUACGAUCAGUAGCUGGUCUGAGAGGAUGAUCAGCCACACUGGAACUGAGACACGGUCCAGACUCCUACGGGAGGCAGCAGUAAGGAAUAUUGCUCAAUGGGGGAAACCCUGAAGCAGCAACGCCGCGUGAAGGAUGAAAUACUUUUGUAUGUAAACUUCUGUAAGAUGGGAAAAAUAUUCUCCUCGGGAGAAUUGAUUGUACCAUCAGAGUAAGCCCCGGCUAACUACGUG
rnacentral:rRNA from 1 species